rnacentral:rRNA from 1 species
UACGUAGGGGGCAAGCGUUGUCCGGAAUCAUUGGGCGUAAAGAGCGUGUAGGCGGUUCGGUAAGUCGGCUGUGAAAGUCCAGGGCUCAACCCUGGGAUGCCGGUCGAUACUGCCGGACUAGAGUUCGGAAGAGGCGAGUGGAAUUCCCGGUGUAGCGGUGAAAUGCGCAGAUAUCGGGAGGAACACCUAUGGCGAAGGCAGCUCGCUGGGACGGUACUGACACUGAGGCGCGAAAGCGUGGGGAGCGAACAGG